rnacentral:rRNA from 1 species
AUUGAACGCUGGCGGCAUGCCUUACACAUGCAAGUCGAACGGUAACGGGUCCUUCGGGAUGCCGACGAGUGGCGAACGGGUGAGUAAUAUAUCGGAACGUGCCCAGUAGUGGGGGAUAACUGCUCGAAAGAGCAGCUAAUACCGCAUACGACCUGAGGGUGAAAGGGGGGGAUCGCAAGACCUCUCGCUAUUGGAGCGGCCGAUAUCAGAUUAGCUAGUUGGUGGGGUAAAGGCCUACCAAGGCAACGAUCUGUAGUUGGUCUGAGAGGACGACCAGCCACACUGGGACUGAGACACGGCCCAGACUCCUACGGGAGGCAGCAGUGGGGAAUUUUGGACAAUGGGCGCAAGCCUGAUCCAGCAAUGCCGCGUGCAGGAAGAAGGCCUUCGGGUUGUAAACUGCUUUUGUCAGGGAAGAAAUCUUCUGGGCUAAUACCCCGGGAGGAUGACGGUACCUGAAGAAUAAGCACCGGCUAACUACGUGCCAGCAGCCGCGGUAAUACGUAGGGUGCGAGCGUUAAUCGGAAUUACUGGGCGUAAAGCGUGCGCAGGCGGCUUUGCAAGACAGAUGUGAAAUCCCCGGGCUCAACCUGGGAACUGCAUUUGUGACUGCAAGGCUAGAGUACGGCAGAGGGGGAUGGAAUUCCGCGUGUAGCAGUGAAAUGCGUAGAUAUGCGGAGGAACACCAAUGGCGAAGGCAAUCCCCUGGGCCUGUACUGACGCUCAUGCACGAAAGCGUGGGGAGCAAACAGGAUUAGAUACCCUGGUAGUCCACGCCCUAAACGAUGUCAACUGGUUGUUGGACGGCUUGCUGUUCAGUAACGAAGCUAACGCGUGAAGUUGACCGCCUGGGGAGUACGGCCGCAAGGUUGAAACUCAGAGGAAUUGACGGGGACCCGCACAAGCGGUGGAUGAUGUGGUUUAAUUCGAUGCAACGCGAAAAACCUUACCUACCCUUGACAUGUCAAGAAUUCUGCAGAGAUGUGGAAGUGCUCGAAAGAGAACUUGAACACAGGUGCCGCAUGGCCGUCGUCAGCUCGUGUCGUGAGAUGUUGGGUUAAGUCCCGCAACGAGCGCAACCCUUGUCAUUAGUUGCUACGCAAGAGCACUCUAAUGAGACUGCCGGUGACAAACCGGAGGAAGGUGGGGAUGACGUCAGGUCCUCAUGGCCCUUAUGGGUAGGGCUACACACGUCAUACAAUGGCCGGUACAGAGGGCUGCCAACCCGCGAGGGGGAGCCAAUCCCAGAAAACCGGUCGUAGUCCGGAUCGUAGUCUGCAACUCGACUGCGUGAAGUCGGAAUCGCUAGUAAUCGCGGAUCAGCUUGCCGCGGUGAAUACGUUCCCGGGUCU